GGGCUAGCAAAGGUUUCGACAGGGAUCCUGCAGCUGGUGAAGCGAGCCGCAUGGCGAUGCGUUAAAUGGCCAAAUUAAAUUUAAACGCUAAGAACAACUCUUUAGCAAUCGCAGCCUGAGGGCUGUAACCCUCUUCUGAUUCACCUGCGUGUCAGGGGCCGGGUUUCAAAAAGAGCAGGAAACGACAUGCCCAAAGCUUUGAGGGCAUGGGCGUAAAAUGAAGCUACCAAGACCGCAAGGAUGUCUGCUUCCGGGCGGCGGAGGGAAUUUAUAAAGAACAGACUACGCUCGUAGAAGAACAGGGAACGGGUUUUUGGACAGGGGUUCGAUUCCCCUCUAGUCCAUCA
rfam:Shuttleworthia satelles DSM 14600 genomic scaffold Scfld0, whole genome shotgun sequence.